UAAUAACAGACAGCUCCUCAUAUAAUAAAGACCCUUUGGAUUGAACUGAGGGAGACAGAGAGAGAGGAAGAGAGAGAGAGAGAGAGAGAGAGAGAGAGAGAGAGAGAGAGAGAGAGAGAGAGAGAGAGCACUCCCUGUGGGUGGGUCUUAUCUCGUUUACCAGGAAGUGAACUCCGCCAUUUUAUCAUCUUGGUGAGUCACUGCUUGCACACUGAAGGUAAACAAAGGAUGAAGGAGGUGAUUCCCUCUCUCUCCGCACCCUGCAAGACUGCGCUGCUGCUGACUGCUGCACUGCUGUCCUCUGCACUGUCUGAUGAUGUAUCACAGCCUCUGGAGGGUGAGAGACAUAAAACACAGUUUGCAGCAAACAUUCCUGCAAUUUUAUUUCAUAAAUGGAACAAAGAUUAAAAAACAAAAGCAUCAUUGUUUGGAAGCAUUAUGAUAAAGUCUGAAAUUAAGCACAGCGUUAGUUCAGGCAGCUCAUGAAGUCAAACUCAGCUCUCAGUUCCAGCUAUAUCAGCUGAUGGCUCAGCUGAUUCCCUCAAGCAUCCAAUUAGCAAAUAUCAUUCAUGGCGCUUUAUUCAAGCUGCUUUAGCCUGCCUAUCUCUGCUGCUUUCGCCAAAUGUAACAUUCUGCUUUGUAAAUACAAGUUCCACUGACAGACGUGGUCCUGACUGAAGUCUGCUGUUGCUGUAUGAUGACAUACAGUAGACUCAGAAUACAUUGUUCAUUUGUUUGUUGUCUGUUGUUGGCUCAGGAGGUAGAGCGGGUCGUUCACUGAUCAGAACGUUGCUGGUUUAAUCCCUGGCUCCUCCCGCUGCGUGUCCUCGAGCAAAAUACUGAACCCCAAACAGCUUGAAGUGGCCAGAAGUCUAGAAAGGCACUACAAUAAAAACAAUGUUUCGUAUUUAAAACGGUGUUGAAGCGAGCAACAUCCUGCUGCAACAGUGGUGCUUUGAAAGUGUCGAGUCAUCUGUUGCAUCACUACUUUUAACGUCUCUCUUUCUUUUCCCUCUUUCAGAUCAUCUGAUCACUGAGGCCGGUCAUAACGUCACUCUGCUGUGUCGGGCUCCUGUGAUUGCCGCCAUCAUAGCUGCAGAGUGGAGCAGACGUGACCUGGGUUCACAGUAUGUCUUCCUUUACAGGAACAAGAGGUCUGAUACAACCUACCAGCAUCCGCUGUUUGAGAACCGGGUGCAGCUGGCCGACAGUCAGCUGAAGGAUGGCAACGUGUCGUUACUUCUGAACAACGCCACCAGUAACGACACGGGAACAUACGAGUGCCGAGUUAAACAGGGAACCACCACACGCAUGAACAGAGCAGUUCUUAAGUCUGACCCUGUCUGCACCAUCCACCUGACCGUUACACAAUCACAACCAGGUCUGAGAGCUGGAAACGGGGCUGGAGGAAUUCCUGGUGGACACGUCGGGCUGUUUUUGGCGCUGUCAGUUAAGUUAAUUUUUUAA
rnacentral:lncRNA from 15 species